CCUGGUAGUCCACGCCCUAAACGAUGUCAACUAGUUGUUGGGGAUUCAUUUCCUUAGUAACGUAGCUAACGCGUGAAGUUGACCGCCUGGGGAGUACGGUCGCAAGAUUAAAACUCAAAGGAAUUGACGGGGACCCGCACAAGCGGUGGAUGAUGUGGAUUAAUUCGAUGCAACGCGAAAAACCUUACCUACCCUUGACAUGGUCGGAAUCCYGAAGAGAUUCGGGAGUGCUCGAAAGAGAACCGGCGCACAGGUGCUGCAUGGCUGUCGUCAGCUCGUGUCGUGAGAUGUUGGGUUAAGUCCCGCAACGAGCGCAACCCUUGUCCUUAGUUGCUACGCAAGAGCACUCUAAGGAGACUGCCGGUGACAAACCGGAGGAAGGUGGGGAUGACGUCAAGUCCUCAUGGCCCUUAUGGGUAGGGCUUCACACGUCAUACAAUGGUCGGAACAGAGGGUUGCCAACCCGCGAGGGGGAGCUAAUCCCAGAAAACCGAUCGUAGUCCGGAUUGCACUCUGCAACUCGAGUGCAUGAAGCUGGAAUCGCUAGUAAUCGCGGAUCAGCAUGCCGC
rnacentral:rRNA from 1 species